rnacentral:rRNA from 1 species
UACGGGGGGAGCAAGCGUUGUUCGGAUUUACUGGGCGUAAAGGGCGCGUAGGCGGCCACUGCAAGUCGGUUGUGAAAUCUCCGGGCUUAACCCGGAAAGGUCAAUCGAUACUGCAGGGCUAGAGUGCAGAAGGGGCAACUGGAAUUCUCGGUGUAGCGGUGAAAUGCGUAGAUAUCAGGAAGAACACCGGUGGCGAAAGCGCUCUGCUAGGCCGCAACUGACACUGAGGCGCGAAAGCGAGUGGGGAGCAAACAGGA